GCCUGGGUGGCUCAGUCGGUUAAGCGUCUGACUUCAGCUCAGGUCAUGAUCUCACAGUGUGUGGGUUCAAGCCCCACAUUGGGCU
rnacentral:tRNA from 1 species